GGAGUUCCCCUUCGGGAGUAUAUUUUCAAAGCCAGCUUGUGGACUUGGCACAGUUGCUGCAUUAGUUUGCGAGCUUGGACCUGCUUCUUUAGUGUUUUUAUCGGUUUUGCAAAAGAAGUUGGACGAUGGGAGGAAUAAAGGAUGAAAUCACAGCUACUACUGCAAAAUUUUACGAGCUACUAUCGCAGGGAAAGAGCGAGGAAGCGUUGAGCUACUACACGGAUGACUGCAUUGAAAUGCCUUCAGGCGGCGAAACGUUAAAAGGCAAGGAUGCUAUAGGCAAGUAUUUUGAAGCAAUGGCUGCCUUCAGAGAUCAGAUGGGUAAGACUGAAAGGGAAGACGAGACGGUUUUGGAGAAGGCGAUCUGGUGACGUCAACAAGUAACGCAAAGGGUAUGGGAAAGAUGGCUCCUUGCUUCUAGAAACAAGGUCAAUGACGAUUUGGAAAAAAGUCGGCGGCAAAUAUUUAAUGCACAACAAAAUCUGGAAUGCAACAAAAUCUAUGUAGAACAGUCUGUAUUUGAGAAGCAAAUUGAGUUGUUUUCUGCAUAAUUUGUCAGAGCUGUUGGUAAAUUCUUAAAAAUAAAUUUGAGCAUGUCGCUAAGAGAAUAAAUUUUGAACGAUAA